rnacentral:rRNA from 1 species
UGGGGAAUCUUGCACAAUGGGGGCAACCCUGAUGCAGCGACGCCGCGUGAGCGAUGAAGCCCUUCGGGGCGUAAAGCUCUUUCGACCGGAACGAUAAUGACGGUACCGGGAGAAGAAGCUGCGGCUAACUACGUGCCAGCAGCCGCGGUAAUACGUAGGCAGCAGGCGUUGUUCGGAGUUACUGGGCGUAAAGAGUGCGUAGGCGGUUUUCUAAGUUCGGUGUGAAAUCUCCCGGCUUAACUGGGAGGGUGCGCCGAAGACUGGGAAGCUGGAGUGUGGGAAAGGCAGGCGGAAUUCCUGGUGUAGCGGUGAAAUGCGUAGAUAUCAGGAGGAACACCGGCGGUGUAGACGGCUUGCUAGACCAUAACUGACGCUGAGGCACGAAAGCGUGGGUAGCAAACA